AAGAUUUUGUUCACACAAACUGAUAUGGGCAUAAUGGUUACAGAUAAAAUCCUGAAGUUCUCAUGAAUCUCUCCUGAGAAGCCUACGAAAGAUGAACUCGGACCAUCAAGAUGAUUGGAGUGUCUCCUCCUCAGAAAGCACAAGCAAAGGACUUUGCAAGGGAGGAAGACAAACGGCUCCGCAGCCCCUCAUGUGCAAUCUUGAACGUGUGGCUUCUCCUUUCUGAUGCUCUGUGACUCUAGACCAAGACUGGGAAUAAAGCUCUCCUUACCUGACCUGUGUGUUAUGGA
rnacentral:lncRNA from 1 species